rnacentral:rRNA from 1 species
UGGGGAAUUUUGCGCAAUGGGCUAACGCCUGACGCAGCAACGCCGCGUGGAGGAUGAAGGUCUUUGGAUUGUAAACUCCUGUCGGCAGGGAAAAAGGGACGGGGCUUAAUACGCCUCGAACUUGAUUGUACCUGCAGAGGAAGCCCCGGCUAACUCUGUGCCAGCAGCCGCGGUAAUACAGAGGGGGCGAGCGUUAUUCGGAAUUAUUGGGCGUAAAGGGCGCGUAGGCGGCGAUUCAAGUGGAAGGUGAAAUCCCUCGGCUUAACCGAGGAACUGCCUUCCAGACUGGAUGGCUUGAGUCCGGGAGAGGCGAGUGGAAUUCCCAGUGUAGCGGUGAAAUGCGUAGAUAUUGGGAGGAACACCAGUGGCGAAGGCGGCUCGCUGGACCGGAACUGACGCUGAGGCGCGAAAGCGUGGGGAGCAAACAGG